UGCUAUUGACAAAACAUGGCAGGUGUCUGGACAAGUUAUCGUUAAAAUUUUGUACAGGUUCUUUUUAAUAGAUUUCAAUUAAUAUUGUAAUUGAAGACAUAUGACACAUUGAAGUGACAGAAUGACAGCUGGAUCAAUCCCAGUACCUUCUAUUAUUCCUAUUAGGACACCUUUACCUGGGCGGUCCAAACUCUCCAUUGACAGUAACACCAAAAUUGAACUUUCAAUAGAUGGUAAGCAAGAUGUUACAAUAUAUUACACAAUAAAUGGAACAAAACCAGAUCCAUUUCCCAAGGUUGGAGUGGAGAGAUGUACAAUGCAGUACAUUGGUCCGUUUACACUGCCGGCUGGGAAGCAGACUGUCAAGGCAGUAGCAGU